rnacentral:rRNA from 1 species
CGCAAUGGGCGAAAGCCUGACGGAGCAACGCCGCGUGAGGGACGAAGGCCUCUGGGCUGUAAACCUCUUUUCUCAAGGAAGAAGAUAUGACGGUACUUGAGGAAUAGGCCACGGCUAAUUCCGUGCCAGCAGCCGCGGUAAUACGGGAGUGGCAAGCGUUAUCCGGAAUUAUUGGGCGUAAAGCGUCCGCAGGCGGCUUUUCAAGUCUGCUGUUAAAGCGUGGAGCUUAACUCCAUCAUGGCAGUGGAAACUGAAAGGCUUGAGUAUGGUAGGGGCAGAGGGAAUUCCCGGUGUAGCGGUGAAAUGCGUAGAUAUCGGGAAGAACACCAGUGGCGAAGGCGCUCUGCUGGGCCAUUACUGACGCUCAUGGACGAAAGCCAGGGGAGCGAAAGGGAUUAGAUACCCCUGUAGUCCUGGCCGU